rnacentral:rRNA from 1 species
AGCUACAGGCUUAACACAUGCAAGUCGAGGGGCAGCAUCAUCAAAGCUUGCUUUGAUGGAUGGCGACCGGCGCACGGGUGAGUAACACGUAUCCAACCUGCCGACAACACUGGGAUAGCCUUUCGAAAGAAAGAUUAAUACCGGAUGGCAUAGUUUUCCCGCAUGGGAUAAUUAUUAAAGAAUUUCGGUUGUCGAUGGGGAUGCGUUCCAUUAGGCAGUUGGCGGGGUAACGGCCCACCAAACCAACGAUGGAUAGGGGUUCUGAGAGGAAGGUCCCCCACAUUGGAACUGAGACACGGUCCAAACUCCUACGGGAGGCAGCAGUGAGGAAUAUUGGUCAAUGGACGAGAGUCUGAACCAGCCAAGUAGCGUGAAGGAUGACUGCCCUAUGGGUUGUAAACUUCUUUUAUACGGGAAUAAAGUGAGCCACGUGUGGCUUUUUGUAUGUACCGUAUGAAUAAGGAUCGGCUAACUCCGUGCCAGCAGCCGCGGUAAUACGGAGGAUCCGAGCGUUAUCCGGAUUUAUUGGGUUUAAAGGGAGCGUAGGCGGGUUGUUAAGUCAGUUGUGAAUGUUUGCGGCUCAACCGUAAAAUUGCAGUUGAUACUAGCGACCUUGAGUGCAACAGAGGUAGGCGGAAUUCGUGGUGUAGCGGUGAAAUGCUUAGAUAUCACGAAGAACUCCGAUUGCGAAGGCAGCUUACUGGAUUGUAACUGACGCUGAUGCUCGAAAGUGUGGGUAUCAAACAGGAUUAGAUACCCUGGUAGUCCACACAGUAAACGAUGAAUACUCGCUGUUGGCGAUAUACAGUCAGCGGCCAAGCGAAAGCAUUAAGUAUUCCACCUGGGGAGUACGCCGGCAACGGUGAAACUCAAAGGAAUUGACGGGGGCCCGCACAAGCGGAGGAACAUGUGGUUUAAUUCGAUGAUACGCGAGGAACCUUACCCGGGCUUAAAUUGCAACUGACUGAACCGGAAACGGUUCUUUCUUCGGACAGUUGUGAAGGUGCUGCAUGGUUGUCGUCAGCUCGUGCCGUGAGGUGUCGGCUUAAGUGCCAUAACGAGCGCAACCCUUAUCGAUAGUUACUAGCAGGUCAUGCUGAGGACUCUAUUGAGACUGCCGUCGUAAGAUGUGAGGAAGGUGGGGAUGACGUCAAAUCAGCACGGCCCUUACGUCCGGGGCUACACACGUGUUACAAUGGGGGGUACAGAAGGCAGCUACACGGCGACGUGGUGCUAAUCCCGAAAGCCUCUCUCAGUUCGGAUUGGAGUCUGCAACCCGACUCCAUGAAGCUGGAUUCGCUAGUAAUCGCGCAUCAGCCACGGCGCGGUGAAUACGUUCCCGGGCCUUGUACACACCGCCCGUCAAGCCAUGAAAGCCGGGGGUACCUGAAGUACGUAACCGCAAGGAGCGUCCUAGGGUAAAACUGGUGAUUGGGGCUAAGUCAUAACAA